CCUACGGGAGGCAGCAGUAGGGAAUCUUUCACAAUGGGCGAAAGCCUGAUGGAGCAACGCCGCGUGCAGGAUGAAGGCCUUCGGGUUGUAAACUGCUUUUAUAAGCGAGAAAUAUGAUGGUAACUUAUGAAUAAGGAUCGGCUAACUACGUGCCAGCAGCCGCGGUCAUACGUAGGAUCCGAGCAUUAUCCGGAGUGACUGGGAGUAAAGAGUUGCGUAGGUGGGAUAAUAAGUAGCUAGUGAAAUCGGGUGGCUCAACCAUUCAGACGAUUAGCUAAACUGUGAAGCUAGAGACCGUGAGGGGGAACUGGAAUUUCUAGUGUAGGAGUGAAAUCCGUAGAUAUUAGAAGGAACACCAAUGGCGUAGGCAGGUUACUGGACCGUUUCUGACACUAAGGCACGAAAGCGAAGGGAGCAAACGGGAUUAGAUACCCCUGUAGUC
rnacentral:rRNA from 1 species